rnacentral:rRNA from 1 species
CCUACGGGUGGCUGUAGUGAGGAAUAUUGGUCAAUGGACGAGAGUCUGAACCAGCCAAGUAGCGUGAAGGAUGACUGCCCUAUGGGUUGUAAACUUCUUUUAUAUGGGAAUAAAGUGUUGCACGUGUGCGUUUUUGUAUGUACCAUAUGAAUAAGCAUCGGCUAACUCCGUGCCAGCAGCCGCGGUAAUCCGGAGGAUCCGAGCGUUAUCCGGAUUUAUUGGGUUUAAAGGGAGCGUAGGUGGAUUAGUAAGUCAGUUGUGAAAGUUUGCGGCUCAACCGUAAAAUUGCAGUUGAAACUGGCAGUCUUGAGUACAGUAGAGGUAGGCGGAAUUCGUGGUGUAGCGGUGAAAUGCUUAGAUAUCACGAAGAACUCCGAUUGCGAAGGCAGUUCACUAGACUGCAACUGACACUGAGGCUCGAAAGUGUGGGUAUCAAACAGGAUUAGAUACCCGAGUAGUC